UGAAUCAAAAAUCAUAUCACGCGUAAUGUCCACAAUUAAUAAUAUUUUUAUUUAUUUAUUAAGAAAGUUUGGUUGAAGUCGUAUGCGUACUCCGGUCUUAUUUGGCAAAACCUGCAAGAAAUCAUUAAUGUUAACACCUACACUUUCAACUUUAUAGUAACAUACACUCACAAAGCAACAUAUGUCCAAUAGAUAAAAGCUUCAUAUCUAACACUAAUGCUGACUUUAUGAACAAAGUAGAUUUAUUCAGAAAUUUCAUAUACCCUUGACUGAAUAACUCUUCAACUCUACCAUUUGGAAACUGACCAAGAAAUUAGGUCCUUGACCUUUCUUUGACAUGCACUCAAAAGUUCUAAUCUCCUCAUCCUUAUUGAAGAAACGCUCUACUCCUUCACCAUAUAUGCGAACCGAGACUUUUGUCAACCCAUUCUUGUUGAUAUUAGUAGGGCUAUUAAACGUGCCUAAAAGUAAACGAUGAACAUCAUUUAAACAUCUAAAUCGUAAAAUUAAUACAAGGGCCAUAGGGAUUCAAUUACCGAUGGCACACCUCCCCCUAGAAAAUUACAUUAAAUUAGCGGUCUAUUAGCACCCACUUUAUUAUUGAGAGUUUGUUCGAAGUUGCGCAAACGCAUCUCUCGAGUUACUUUUUAGAAUUAAAUUUAUAAUUAUGUUACACGAACGUAUACAUAAUCAUAAUAAUAUAUUAAACGCACAUCUACACUAUUAAGUAAUGACAUAUAACCAAAGUCUUAAAACCAUAAAAUCACUCUACGUCUCAAUAUCUUUCAAUCACUAAUUUCUAUAUUUGCACAUGGGAGUUCACUAUUACUGUGACAAAAAUUAACCACAUGAAUACUACCACAAUUACACCAGACAUACAACCCGUUUGAACAAAACUAAGAUUAAUAGAUAUGUGAGUAUUUUAGCAAAGCUCAUGAAGGAAGUAAACAGAAAAAAGGUAAUCUCAAGGACCGAAGGAAAAACCAAUACAGAGAAGUAAAAAUUAAUCAAGAUCUUUCAUCAAACAAGUAAAAUGAAUAUGAGAUAAAAGAAACAGAAGGAAGAGAACCUUUAGUAUUGCAAAGCAACGUACUUAUUUUAUAUAAUGAUAACAAUCAUCCUCCGACUUAUACAACAACUCGUUAGAAGUAUAACCAAACAUCGUCGACCUCGUUAACGGAACCUCGGACGACAACCACCUCAAUGACGGCUUGGAUUUUUGAAAGACUCUGGGUUGUUUUGCGGUGUUAAAGGUGGUUUCGGUGCUGGUUUCAGGCGAGUUGCAGAAGAAGAAGAAGAAGAGAUCAGCAGUGACGGCUCAACAUGUAGAUUAAUGGAGGGGAAGGAGUGACGUCAUUUUUUUGGUCGUCAAUGGCGCUGCUUAGCUCCUAGGUCUCUCGUGUAUUCACGAAGAAGAAGAUGGAAUUCAAGGUGUUGUGUCCGACGUUAGGCUGUUGUAAGUAGUUGUUGGAAUGAGGGGGGAGAUGGAACAAAGGGGUCGUUAGGGGUGGUAUUGAGGACGAUGAGCUCAGAGGGGUGGGGUUCUUUUGCCGUUCAUUUNNNN
rnacentral:lncRNA from 1 species